CAAGAGCUCCCUUGAUGCCUUUUCUCAGAUAUUGAAGAAUGAAGGUGCUAAGUCACUCUUCAAGGGUGCAGGAGCAAACAUUCUUCGAGCCGUUGCUGGUGCAGGUGUGCUUGCUGGUUAUGACAAGUUGCAGCUGAUCGUCUUUGGUAAGAAGUAUGGAUCUGGCGGUGCUUAAGUUGCUCUGAGGUUACUCCAUUUAGCUUUAGAUGUUGAUGAAAAU
rnacentral:misc_RNA from 1 species